rnacentral:rRNA from 1 species
AAUACAGAGGGUGCGAGCGUUGUCCGGAAUUACUGGGCGUAAAGGGCGCGUAGGCGGUUCGAUAAGUCGGGGGUGAAAUGCUGCGGCUCAACCGGAGCAUGGCCUUCGAGACUGUCGGGCUGGAGCACGGUAGAGGCUGGCGGAAUUCCUGGUGUAGCGGUGGAAUGCGUAGAGAUCAGGAAGAACACCGGUGGCGAAGGCGACCAGCUGGGCCGUUGCUGACGCUGAGGCGCGACAGCGUGGGGAGCAAACAGG